UACGUAGGUGGCAAGCGUUGUCCGGAUUUACUGGGCGUAAAGAGCGCGCAGGCGGUCGAAUAAGUCGAAUGUGAAAGCCCCGGCUCAACUGGGGAGGGUCAUUCGAUACUACUCGACUUGAAGGCAGGAGAGGGUAGUGGAAUUCCCGGUGUAGUGGUGAAAUGCGUAGAUAUCGGGAGGAACACCAGUGGCGAAGGCGACUACCUGGCCUGUUCUUGACGCUGAGGCGCGAAAGCUGGGGGAGCAAACGGG
rnacentral:rRNA from 1 species